rnacentral:rRNA from 1 species
GAUGAACGCUGGCGGCGUGCCUAAUACAUGCAAGUCGAGCGAACGGAUAAGAAGCUUGCUCCUCUGAUGUUAGCGGCGGACGGGUGAGUAACACGUGGAUAACCUACCUAUAAGACUGGGAUAACUUCGGGAAACCGGAGCUAAUACCGGAUAAUAUUUUGAACCGCAUGGUUCAAAAGUGAAAGACGGUUUUGCUGUCACUUAUAGAUGGAUCCGCGCUGCAUUAGCUAGUUGGUAAGGUAACGGCUUACCAAGGCAACGAUGCGUAGCCGACCUGAGAGGGUGAUCGGCCACACUGGAACUGAGACACGGUCCAGACUCCUACGGGAGGCAGCAGUAGGGAAUCUUCCGCAAUGGGCGAAAGCCUGACGGAGCAACGCCGCGUGAGUGAUGAAGGUCUUCGGAUCGUAAAACUCUGUUAUUAGGGAAGAACAAAUGUGUAAGUAACUGUGCACAUCUUGACGGUACCUAAUCAGAAAGCCACGGCUAACUACGUG